CUCUAACACUCCCUGCAAAGGUCUGCAGCUUCACUCCUGACGCCAGCAAGACCAUGAACCCACAGGGAGGAAUGAACAACUCUGCAAGGGAGGAACGAAUAACUCCAGCUGUGCCGCCUUAAGAAUUGUAACACUCACCUUGAGGGUCUGCAGCUGCUUUCUUGAAGUCGUGUAUGCAGAAAAGGAAGGACAAUAGCUCAGGAAGGUGAGCUCCUGAGAGGGACUUUGUCCUAUAAUCCAUCCAUCCCUGGAAAAUACAUGAAAUAAGACUUGGAGAUACAGGCUGAA
rnacentral:lncRNA from 1 species